GCACUGGUGGUUCCGUGGUAAAAUUCUUGCCUUCCAUGCAGGAGACCCAGGUUCAAUUCCUGGCCUUUGCA
rnacentral:tRNA from 1 species